rnacentral:rRNA from 1 species
UAUGUGAUCGUCUCUCGCAUAUCAAUAAGCGGAGGAAAAGAAACUAACAAGGAUUCCCCUAGUAACGGCGAGUGAAGCGGGAAGAGCUCAAAUUUGAAAUCUUAAAGGGUUUCCCUUUACGAAUUGUAGUUUAAAGAAGUGUUUUCUGUUGAGGUUUUGGUAAAAGUUCUUUGGAAUAGGACAUCAUAGAGGGUGAGAAUCCCGUAUUUGACCUUUACUUUCAACUUUGUGAUACACUUUCAAAGAGUCGGAUUGUUUGGGAAUGCAGUCCAAAAUGGGUGGUAAAUUUCAUCUAAAGCUAAAUAUUGGCGAGAGACCGAUAGCGAACAAGUACCGUGAGGGAAAGAUGAAAAGAACUUUGAAAAGAGAGUUAAACAGUACGUGAAAUUGUCAAAAGGGAAGCGUUUGACACCAGUGUUGUUUUUCUGAAAAUCAAUUAAAGAACUGUUUAUGUUAAGCUGUUUAGACUUUAUCAGCUAUCUGUUUAGUUUUGAGCUUUUCUUUAAUGCACUUUUCAGUUAACAAGUCAACAUCAAUUUCUUUUGCUGUAAAAAAGCUUGAGGAAGGUGGCUUGAGAUUCGUCUUAAGCGUUUAUAGCCUCUUGCCUAUGCAGUCGGAGAGAUUGAGGUCUGCAGCGUAGAUCCUUCGGGGCUAAAUGCAUUUUGUGCUAAGUUAUAGCAUUUUAUAGACAACUUGUUGACUAUGAUUUGUCUUGUAGCUUACUCGCUUAUGUUAUUUUACCUACGCUUAGGAUGUUGAUCUGUAGUGCGUGCGC